AGCGAACGCUGGCGGCAGGCUUAACACAUGCAAGUCGAACGGGCUUCUUCAGAAGUCAGUGGCAGACGGGUGAGUAACACGUGGGAACGUGCCCUUCGGUUCGGAAUAACUCAGGGAAACUUGAGCUAAUACCGGAUACGCCCUUUUGGGGAAAGGUUGACUGCCGAAGGAUCGGCCCGCGUCUGAUUAGCUUGUUGGUGGGGUAACGGCCUACCAAGGCGACGAUCAGUAGCUGGUCUGAGAGGAUGAUCAGCCACACUGGGACUGAGACACGGCCCAGACUCCUACGGGAGGCAGCAGUGGGGAAUAUUGGACAAUGGGCGCAAGCCUGAUCCAGCCAUGCCGCGUGAGUGAUGAAGGCCUUAGGGUUGUAAAGCUCUUUUGUCCGGGACGAUAAUGACGGUACCGGAAGAAUAAGCCCCGGCUAACUUCGUG
rnacentral:rRNA from 1 species